UGGGGAAUCUUGGACAAUGGGGGCAACCCUGAUCCAGCGAUGCCGCGUGGGUGAAGAAGGCCUUCGGGUUGUAAAGCCCUUUAGGCCGGGAAGAAGGUAAUUAGCUGAAUAAGUUAGUUGCUUGACUGUACCGGCGAAAUAAGCACCGGCUAACUCUGUGCCAGCAGCCGCGGUAAUACAGAGGGUGCGAGCGUUAAUCGGAAUUACUGGGCGUAAAGGGCGCGUAGGUGGUAGCGUGUGAAAGAUGUGAAAGCCCCGGGCUUAACCUGGGAAGUGCAUCUUUAACUGCGCAACUAGAGUACAGCAGAGGGUGGCGGAAUUUCCGGUGUAGCGGUGAAAUGCGUAGAGAUCGGAAGGAACGUCGGUGGCGAAGGCGGCCACCUGGGCUGAUACUGACACUGAGGCGCGAAAGCGUGGGGAGCGAACAGG
rnacentral:rRNA from 1 species